AUGGCAGUUUCAGACAAGGCGGUACGACCAUGCUCAUCGUCUUCGUCGGGUUUGGACCCGCUGUUGAAGGAUCUUACAGAGAAGAAGUUGAGCUUCAGAAGAAACGUGGCAUCUCUGGCAUCUGAGCUAAAGGAUGUGAGGCACAAGCUUGCUUCGCAGGAGCAGUUGUUUACUAGGGAAUCCCAAACUAGGGAGGUUGCAGAGACGAAGGCAAGGAGCAUGGAGGAGGAAGUGAGUAAGCUGCAGAAAUGCUUACUGGACAAAGAUGAGCAGCUAAAUGCAACGAGAGGGAUCACCGAACAUUACCUCGAUGAUUUGGAUGAUCUUAAAUCACGACUAUCAGUUACUCAAGCUACAGCAGAAGCCAGUGCUGCAUCAGCCAUGUCGGCUCAGGCGCAGUGCUUGUCCUUGCUGAGAGAGCUGAAUGAGAAGGACCGCUCGCUGAAAGAGCACGAGCUUCGAGUUAACAAGCUUGGCGAGCAGCUUGGUCUUCUCCAGAAGGACCUUGAGGCAAGGGAGCUUUCACAGAGGCAACUCAAGGAUGAAGUUUUAAGGAUUGAGACCGAUAUCAUGGGUGCAGUUUCCAGAGCUGGGUCUAGUAAAGAUAACGAGCUUCCGAAGGUUUUAUCCGAUGUUUCACCAAGGAAUAUCGAGAAUAUUAGCAAGCAUUUGAAUACUAAGGAUACAGAGAUUGCUAGGCUGAGAGAUGAAAUUAGGAUAUUAUCUGCUCAUUGGACAAACAAAACAAAGGAACUAGAGUCGCAACUAGAGAAGCAGCGAAGAACAGACCAGGAGCUGAAAAAGAGGGUUCUAAAACUUGAAUUCUGCCUUCAAGAAUCACGUUCUCAAAUCAGAAAACUUCAGAGGUUGGGGGAGAAGAGGGACAAGCAGCUCAAAGAGCUCAAGGAUCAGAUGGCCAUGAAGCAGCCCAACGGCCCUCGCCAUGACGAAGGCAAGAAGCCCUUCUGGGAGAAUGAUACGUUCAAGUUCGUCGCCGGCAUGUCAAUGCUGGUCGUGAUGGUCCUCGCAAAGCGUUGA
rnacentral:rRNA from 1 species